rnacentral:rRNA from 1 species
AGUUUCCAUGUCGUACUCCAAUAUAACGAGUUGCUCUUUGACGUUAGCGGCGGACGGGUGAGUAACACGUGGGCAACCUACCUUAUAGUUUGAUAACUCCGGGAAACCGGGGCUAAUACCGAAUAAUCUGUUUCACCUCAUGGUGAAACAUUGAAAGACGGUUUCGCUGUCGCUAUAGGAUGGGCCCGCGGCGCAUUAGCUAGUUGGUGAGGUAACGGCUCACCAAGGCGACGAUGCGUAGCCGACCUGAGAGGGUGAUCGCCACACUGGGACUGAGACACGGCCCAGACUCCUACGGAGGCAGCAUGGGAAUCUUCCACAAUGGGCGAAAGCCUGAUGGAGCAACGCCGCUGAAGUGAAGAAGGAUUUCGGUCGUAAACUUGUUGUAAGGGAAAGAACAGUCAUAGUACUGGUGUCCUUGACGGUCCUUAUUAGAAAGCCCGGUACUACGUGGCACGGCCGAUACCCUAGGAGGAAUUUGCCGGAAUAAUUGGCCAAAGUUCCCAGUGGGUUUUUAAACUUAAAGUGAAGCCACGGGUUAAACCCGAGGGAUUUGAAACUUGGGAAUUUGGGAAAAGGUUUUGGAGUCAAAAUCCGGAAGCUAGAUUUUGGGCCCC